GGAUGUGAGGGCGAUCUGGAGGGCGAUCUGGCUGCGACAUCUAUCACCCCAUUGAUCGCCAGGGUUGAUUCGGCUGAUCUGGCUGGCUAGGCAGGUGUCCCCUUCCUCCCUCACUGCUCCAUGUGCGUCCCUCCCGAAGCUGCGUGCUCCGUCAAAGAGGACGACCUUCUCCGCUAGAUGAGGACUUCUCUUCGGUCAAGGGUAUACGAGUAGCUGGGCUCCCCUGCUAGAACCUCCAAAGAAGCUCUCAAGAAUAAUACUUCAUGGCCGGCACUGUGGCAUAGCACACUGAGCCUCUGACUAUGACACUGACUUCCAACAGAGGUGUUGGUUGAGUCCUGGC
rnacentral:snRNA from 1 species